rnacentral:rRNA from 1 species
UACCAGCACCCCGAGUGGUCGGGACGAUUAUUGGGCCUAAAGCAUCCGUAGCCGGUUCUGCAAGUCCCCCGUUAAAUCCAGCUGCUCAACAGAUGGGCCGCGGAGGAUACUCCAGAGCUAGGAGGCAGGAGAGGCAAGCGGUACUCAGUGGGUAGGGGUAAAAUCCGUUGAUCCAUUGAAGACCACCAGUGGCGAAGGCGGCUUGCCAGAAUGCGCUCGACGGUGAGGGAUGAAAGCUGGGGGAGCAACCGG